CCUACGGGAGGCUGCAGUGAGGAAUAUUGGUCAAUGGACGAGAGUCUGAACCAGCCAAGUAGCGUGAAGGAUGACUGCCCUAUGGGUUGUAAACUUCUUUUAUAUGGGAAUAAAAUGUUCCACGUGUGGGCUUUUGUAUGUACCAUAUGAAUAAGGAUCGGCUAACUCCGUGCCAGCAGCCGCGGUAAUACGGAGGAUCCGAGCGUUAUCCGGAUUUAUUGGGUUUAAAGGGAGCGUAGGUGGAUUGUUAAGUCAGUUGUGAAAGUUUGCGGCUCAACCGUAAAAUUGCAGUUGAAACUGGCAGUCUUGAGUACAGUAGAGGUAGGCGGAAUUCGUGGUGUAGCGGUGAAAUGCUUAGAUAUCACGAAGAACUCCGAUUGCGAAGGCAGCUUACUGGACUGCAACUGACACUGAGGCUCGAAAGUGUGGGUAUCAAACAGGAUUAGAUACCCUUGUAGUC
rnacentral:rRNA from 1 species